rnacentral:rRNA from 1 species
AGCUCCAAUAGCGUAUAUUAAAGUUGUUGCAGUUAAAAAGCUCGUAGUUGAAUUUCUGGUGGGAGUGUACAGUCCGACACUGAGUGUUGGUUCUUGUAUGUCUCCGGCCAUCCUUGGAGUGAAUCUGUCUGGCAUUCAGUUGUUGGGCAGAGUAUCUCCAUCGUUUACUGUGAGGAAAUGAAAGUGUUCAAAGCAGGCUUACGCCGUUGAAUCUUUUAGCAUGGAAUAAUAAGAUAGGAUCUUGAUACUAUUUUGUUGGUUUGCGUGUUAAGAUAAUGAUGAAUAGGGACAGUUGGGGGUAUUUGUAUUCCAUAGUCAGAGGUGAAAUUCUUGGAUUUAUGGAAGACAAACUAAUGCGAAAGCAUCUACCAAGGAUGUUUUCAUUAAUCAAGAACGAAAG